rnacentral:misc_RNA from 1 species
GAUGAAGAACGCAGCGAAAUGCGAUACGUAAUGUGAAUUGCAGAUUUCAGUGAAUCAUCGAAUCUUUGAACGCACAUUGCGCCCGCUAGUAUUCUGGCGGGCAUGCCUGUUCGAGCGUCAUUUCAACCAUCAAGCCCUAGGCUUGCGUUGGAGCCCUGCGGCUGCCGCAGGCUCCCAAAUCGAGUGGCGGGCUCGUCGUCGUACCGAGUGCAGUAAACAUCCUCGCUCAGGGAACGUGACGGGUUCUUGCCGUGAAACCCCCCACAUAUCAAGGUUGACCUCGGAUCAGGUAGGAAUACCCGCUGAACUUAAGCAUAUCAAUAAGCGGAGGA